rnacentral:lncRNA from 1 species
UGUCACUUCAUGUAGAGCCAACACGGAAGCGGUAGUAUUUUGAAUUUUUCUCUGGACUUGUCAUGAUGAUAGGCAGUUAUAAACAUACUCCUUGGAAGUAUUUUAGCAGUACUGUAUUCACUAUCAAGUGGAUUCUCAAGUCUCAGUAACUACUGUAAGUGAAAAAUCAGUCAACUCAAUCAUUGUAGGAAGAAAGCAUAUUAAUGUUUGUUUGAAGACGUAUCUACGUUAAGGAACAGAAAAUUACCUGACUUACUAAAGCAAGAGUGAACUCCGAAAAAUGUUAGUACAAGUCACAGUGAUUCAAUAUUUCAAAAUAGAUUUGUUCAACGGCAUAAUUCAUACUAAUUAGCUUGGUCCCAUCGGACAAGAAAAGGCAUGGUUAUGGGCCGUUGCUGCUGCAAUAUCACAAAGAAUGCUGGUUUAUGCACACCUGUAACACAAAUGGUUCUUGAAUAUUGUUUUAUAUAAUAAACUCUUGUAUUAUGACAACAUUACGAAAAAAAUGCUUAUUUAAACCGGACUGUAAAGCAGCCUUGAAUUUGAAGUACAGUAUGUUUAGCAGUAAGACAUUAGCAAAACUAUUAUAAAUGAAAGGGUAUGCUAGUAAA